rnacentral:rRNA from 1 species
UGGGGAAUAUUGCGCAAUGGGGGGAACCCUGACGCAGCCAUGCCGCGUGAAUGAAGAAGGCCUUAGGGUUGUAAAGUUCUUUCGGUACUGAGGAAGGUUGAUGUGUUAAUAGCACAUCAAAUUGACGUUAAAUACAGAAGAAGCACCGGCUAACUCCAUGCCAGCAGCCGCGGUAAUACGGAGGGUGCGAGCGUUAAUCGGAAUAACUGGGCGUAAAGGGCACGCAGGCGGUUAUUUAAGUGAGGUGUGAAAGCCCCGGGCUUAACCUGGGAAUUGCAUUUCAGACUAGGUAACUAGAGUACUUUAGGGAGGGGUAGAAUUCCACGUGUAGCGGUGAAAUGCGUAGAGAUGUGGAGGAAUACCGAAGGCGAAGGCAGCCCCUUGGGAAUGUACUGACGCUCAUGUGCGAAAGCGUGGGGAGCAAACAGGAUUAGAUACCCUGGUAGUCCACGCUGUAAACGCUGUCGAUUUGGGGGUUGGGGUUUAACUCUGGCGCCCGUAGCUAACGUGAUAAAUCGACCGCCUGGGGAGUACGGCCGCAAGGUUA